AGUUUAAGUUGUGUGCAAGUGGUAGGAGAGCGUUCUAUUUGCGUCGAAGGUAUACCGGUAAGGAGUGCUGGAGCGAAUAGAAGUGAGCAUGCAGGCAUGAGUAGCGAUAAUUAAUGUGAGAAUCAUUAACGCCGUAAACCCAAGGUUUCCUACGCGAUGCUCGUCAUCGUAGGGUUAGUCGGGUCCUAAGUCGAGUCCGAAAGGGGUAGACGAUGGCAAAUUGGUUAAUAUUCCAAUACCAACAUUAGUGUGCGAUGGAAGGACGCUUAGGGCUAAGGGGGCUAGCGGAUGGAAGUGCUAGUCUAAGGUCGUAGGAGGUUAUACAGGCAAAUCCGUAUAACAAUACUCCGAGAACUGAAAGGCUUUUUGAAGUCUUCGGAUGGAUAGAAGAACCCCUGAUGCCGUCGAGCCAAGAAAAGUUUCUAAGUUUAGCUAAUGUUGCCCGUACCGUAAACCGACACAGGUGGGUGGGAUGAGUAUUCUAAGGCGCGUGGAAGAACUCUCUUUAAGGAACUCUGCAAAAUAGCACCGUAUCUUCGGUAUAAGGUGUGGUUAGCUUCGUACUAGGAUUUACUCCGAAAGCGAAGAAACUUACAACAAAGAGUCCCUCCCGACUGUUUACCAAAAACACAGCACUCUGCUAACUCGUAAGAGGAUGUAUAGGGUGUGACGCCUGCCCGGUGCUCGAAGGUUAAUUGAUGGGGUUAGCAUUAGCGAAGCUCUUGAUCGAAGCCCGAGUAAACGGCGGCCGUAACUAUAACGGUCCUAAGGUAGCGAAAUUCCUUGUCGGUUAAAUACCGACCUGCAUGAAUGGCGUAACGAGAUGGGAGCUGUCUCAAAGAGGGAUCCAGUGAAAUUGUAGUGGAGGUGAAAAUUCCUCCUACCCGCGGCAAGACGGAAAGACCCCGUGGACCUUUACUACAGCUUGACACUGCUACUUGGAUAAGAAUGUGCAGGAUAGGUGGGAGGCUUUGAGUAUAUGACGCCAGUUGUAUAUGAGCCAUUGUUGAGAUACCACUCUUUCUUAUUUGGGUAGCUAACCAGCUUGAGUUAUCCUCAAGUGGGACAAUGUCUGGUGGGUAGUUUGACUGGGGCGGUCGCCUCCCAAAUAAUAACGGAGGCUUACAAAGGUUGGCUCAGAACGGUUGGAAAUCGUUCGUAGAGUAUAAAGGUAUAAGCCAGCUUAACUGCAAGACAUACAAGUCAAGCAGAGACGAAAGUCGGUCUUAGUGAUCCGGUGGUUCUGUGUGGAAGGGCCAUCGCUCAAAGGAUAAAAGGUACCCCGGGGAUAACAGGCUGAUCUCCCCCAAGAGCUCACAUCGACGGGGAGGUUUGGCACCUCGAUGUCGGCUCAUCGCAUCCUGGGGCUGGAGCAGGUCCCAAGGGUAUGGCUGUUCGCCAUUUAAAGCGGUACGCGAGCUGGGUUCAGAACGUCGUGAGACAGUUCGGUCCCUAUCUGCCGUGGGCGUAAGAAGAUUGAAGAGAUUUGACCCUAGUACGAGAGGACCGGGUUGAACAAACCACUGGUGUAGCUGUUGUUCUGCCAAGAGCAUCGCAGCGUAGCUAAGUUUGGAAAGGAUAAACGCUGAAAGCAUCUAAGCGUGAAGCCAACUCUAAGAUGAAUCUUCUCUAAGCUCUCUAGAAGACUACUAGUUUGAUAGGCUGGGUGUGUAAUGGAUGAAAGUCCUUUAGCUGACCAGUACUAAUAGAGCGUUUGGCUUAUCU
rnacentral:rRNA from 1 species